CCUACGGGAGGCAGCAGUGAGGAAUAUUGGUCAAUGGGCGAGAGCCUGAACCAGCCAAAUCGCGUGAAGGAAGACUGCCUUAUGGGUUGUAAACUUCUUUUAUACAGGAAUAAAAAGAGUUACGUGUAACUUAUUGCAUGUACUGUAUGAAUAAGCAUCGGCUAACUCCGUGCCAGCAGCCGCGGUAAU
rnacentral:rRNA from 1 species